rnacentral:lncRNA from 1 species
AUGUUCGCUGCUGCCCGGCCCCGGCCCGCCGGCCGCGUGGCGAGUUCGAGGCCCGAGUCCGCUAGCCCCGCGGCCGCUGACACCUGCAGCCCCGAGCCCGGGAGAUGGUGUCCCAGUCGGCGGGCGGGCCCGAGGCCCCCGGGGAGGCCCGCGGGAGGGCCGGCAGGGGCCCCGGCGACCCGGGCGGCCCGCGCAGCUCCCCGCACCUCGAGCGGCCCCGCUGCGCGCCCGACGCCAGGCUGCGGAGGCACAGGGCCGCCUGGGUGCAGCCGCCGCCCGCGCAGCGCCCGGGGCCCGACUCGCCCUCCGCGGGGGCCCCGGGGCGCCGGCCGGCCUGUCCCCGGGGCAAGGGGGGCCCGGAGCCCCGGGAGCUGCCCCCCGCCCCGCCUGCGCCCCGGACCCAGGGCGGCGCUGCUCCGCCGCCUCCAGCGCAGGAAGGCUCCAAAGCCCAUGGCCUGCAGACCCAAGCCAGCCGGUCCCCUGAUCUGAUAAAUACAAGCUUUGUGUCGCUGUAGCUGCUUGUCACCCUCAGGACAGAACUGCGUGGCAGCAACAGGUGGGCCUCACUCAGGUCCUAUACUGGUGGCUACGGAGUCCUUCUCAGAAGUGUGCCCGCCCCACGCGGAUUCUGCACCCCAGAGAU